UACGAAGGGGGGCUAGCGUUGCUCGGAAUCACUGGGCGUAAAGCGCACGUAGGCGGCUUUUUAAGUCAGGGGUGAAAUCCUGGAGCUCAACUCCAGAACUGCCUUUGAUACUGAGAAGCUUGAGUCCGGGAGAGGUGAGUGGAACUGCGAGUGUAGAGGUGAAAUUCGUAGAUAUUCGCAAGAACACCAGUGGCGAAGGCGGCUCACUGGCCCGGUACUGAUGCUGAGGUGCGAAAGCGUGGGGAGCAAAUAGG
rnacentral:rRNA from 1 species